rfam:Bombyx mori DNA, contig: Bm_scaf12_contig10038, strain: p50T/Dazao, build 2, whole genome shotgun sequence.
UUAACUCAAAUUUGUAUGGAGUUGGAACGUUUGCCUACGCUUGCCGUUACGGCCGUUGUUCCGACUGCAUACAAAUUUGAGUUA